GACCCUAUCGUCUAGAGGCCUAGGACAUCGCCCUUUCACGGCGGUACCCGGGGUUCGAAUCCCCGUAGGGACGCCA
rnacentral:tRNA from 1 species